UACGGGGGGGGCAAGCGUUGUUCGGAAUUACUGGGCGUAAAGGGCUCGUAGGCGGCCAACUAAGUCGGACGUGAAAUCCCUCGGCUUAACCGGGGAACUGCGUCCGAUACUGGCUGUCUUGAGUUCGGGAGAGGUGAGUGGAAUGCCGAGUGUAGAGGUGAAAUUCGUAGAUAUUCGGCGGAACACCAGUGGCGAAGGCGACUCACUGGCCCGAUACUGACGCUGAGGCGCGAAAGCGUGGGGAGCAAACAGG
rnacentral:rRNA from 1 species